ACAAAAGAAAAAAAAUCCAUGCGUCUUUCCUUCGGCCCCGAGCAGCCGCGCCGCCGGAACUUGCGAACCCCGCCGCCACCUCGACUCUUCCGCGUCCGGUGCGACGCCGGCACAUCCAUCGCAUGCCGGUGAGCUCCCCAUCGAGCAGUAGCUGCCGCGCCGCCGGAACUUGCGAACCCCGCCGCCACCUCCACUCUUCCGCGUCCGGUGCGACGCCGGCGCAUCCGUCGCAUGCCGGCGAGCUCCCCAUCGAGCAGUAGCUGCCGCGCCGCCCACCUACUUUGCCUUUUCCCGUCCUUCCCUACACUUCUCUCACCUCUCUCUGCCUCGCAUCCACGGGGACCCCGGGACGCCGCCGGCACGCGGAAAUACGCCGCCCCAACUGGAUCGAUGCCCUGCUCCAUCGCCUGCUCUCCUACCAUCCGUCCUCACCCCGCCGCCACCUCGACUCUUCCGCAUCGGGUGCGACACCGGCGCAUCCCUCGCAUGCCGGGACCCGAGGCACCGCUGGCACGCGGAACGAUGCCGCCCCAGCUGGAUCGACGCCCUGCUCCAUCGCAUGCUCUCCCGCCGUCCGUCCUCAUCUCGAAUCGAUCAUGCCGGCAGCUGUCAUUGCCAGAUCCUAGCUUGGCCGCCUGCUGAAAGAUCCAGCGCCUUUGUGCCUCUCACCGUCGAGGGAGGUAGGAAUGACGGAGCCGUGCAUGUGUUGGCGCCCAUGUGGUGCGUGCUGAGCCACCGCCUUGCGUAGCGGCUAUAGUCCUACGGCGCGCCCUACCUCGAGCAACACACAUGGGUGGCGGCUGAGACGUCUGAGGAGCUUCAGCAGGAGGUGGUGAUCCAGUGGCACUCCUUCCAGUACAACACUAACCUAUGCAAAGUGGCCCUUUAUUUCCCCUGCCCAGCUCCAAUCUUUGAUCCGUCCAUGCUUGAGGUAAUAUGUACAGAGAACGAGGCUGCCGAGCCAAAUUUGUUGAACGAGGCUGUGAAGUUUGAGGUAAUAUUGCUGCUACCUUCGUUUUGUUUUUUGGUGAUGGUCACCUCUGUAUCAACUCAACAGGUAGUAUCUAUCUGUUAGUGCUAUUCCUGCAAUUUUGUAAGCCAGAUUUGUGCCAAGUGCAUUGCAUAAUAUAUCUCUAAUAGGUCCAUUGCUAUUUCUGAGAUCUUCCAUCAAUGUUUAUUACAACAGAAAAAUGGUCCUUAUCACAUAUAUAGUAUGCACUGGCAACUUAUAUAUACGAUGGUUGAUAAAAAUUACUUCAGGGUAUCCAUUCUGCUAUAUUUUAGAUACUCAACAAAAUUUGUGACAUCUAAUCUGGUAGAGAAAAUAGUAUGAUACAUUCUUUUUUCUUUUGCGAAUUCAGUCCAAGAUAUUCUUUUCUUACCUACAGAUAAUUUCGUAUGGAUGACUUCAACAUGAUUUAGUUUCCAGCCUGUAUAGAUUAGUCUUAUUAUGAGCUACCUAUAAUUUUUUUAGGCUUUUAGUUUUAGUUAUGGUGAUGGACUGUGCACAUGAUUCAAUAAAGAACUGCAGCAAGCAUUAAUUUUUACAUGCGUGAAGCAUUUUACAAUAAAUUUCCUAUUAUUCAUCAGCUAGCUGAAUGAACGGAGACUGUACGACAAGGCGAACAAACACACUAAAUAUCACGAGUCAUAUUAAUUCCUAGCUAUUUUUACAAUUGCAUUUCACUGGAAGUUUCCUGUUGAUUAUAAUAAUGUUCACCAUAGAUAUCUAAAGUUUGUGGUUCAAUUUAUGAUCUGCAUUGGUCUAGAUACUAUUGCUGGAAGUUGACGUUGACACCCAGUAAGAUCCUCCUGGAGCUGCCUUCUCUGAGCAUAUCUCCAAUCAAGCAUCUACUAAUUCACAUCGUAAAUGUUAAAUUUGUGAUAGGCUUACUAUAGACAAAUGUUUCUGAAUAUUAUGGUAUAUCAGAUGUUACAGAGUAAAUUAUCAAUUUACUCUACAUGAUACAUUAAUCUUUUUUGUUUUUGUUUCUAUUCUAUUUAUGGUGGAAAAAUGGUUUCUUCACCAUUUGGUUGAUGUUAAAUUAAAACAUUUUUGUAUGCCUAUCGAAUAUAUGUUAGUUCAACCGAUAUUCCAAAUUACAUUUUUAUAUUGUGCUGCUUAUUACAGUUUUUUCCUCCAAGGAAACAACACCAAGGCACCCCAUGAGUAUUUGUCAGUUCAACUGAUAUUCCACUUUUGCAUAUUGUAGUACUUCUAUAGUUAUUUCAUCUCAGGAAACAACACCAAGGCAAUAUAUUUUUACCCUGUUUAUAACAGCCUAAUUAUUUCCAACAAUAGAGAUUGAGGCUAUCUUAUUAAAUGUUCCUUUUUGCACGCUGUUGAUCAGCUACAUAAUAUCCUUCUGAUAUAUGACCAAUUUGAAAGAGAAACAAAAAACUUUUCCUAAACUAUGAAAGACAUCAUUAUUCUGAUUAAAAUCAUUCUCACAGGUGACGCCAUGGCACCAUCCAUGAGAGUAUUAAGGAUCCCGAGGGAAAGAGUUGCGAUGGGCCGAUGGCGCAUCUAUUCACACCAUGCACAUUCAUUGCCUGCUACUCAUGCGACCACUCUGAAGGUAAGGAAGUGUGUAUCUUAAGUUCCAUGCUGCAGUUAACAUUUAAUCAUAUUAAUAUUAUCUCUGAUAUCCUGGACACAACAUAGAUUUUACAAGCAAAACUUCAUCAAGCUAGAUUUGUUGCAUGUGCACUAGAUGUUGAUGUUAUUGGGCUAGACUAAUUUUGUGUUUUCCCAUCAUGUUGAAAGUUGUCCCUGAUGUGCGUACAUUAUUAGCUAUCAUGGAGACGACAAAUAGCUGAUGUUUGGUAAUAGUUACUUCAUGGUAUGCUGCAUAUUCCUCUAAAUUUGUGAGAUUUGAGAUAGUAGAAACAACACAUCGUGAUCUACUGGCCUUGCCUGAUGCUUCGUUAUUUGAGGACCAUGGAGUAAAAUGGAUCUAAUUUCCAGUCUAUGUAUGAUUAUUAGUCAUUUGAUGCGGAAAGUUUUAUGAUUUCAUUAUAUGUUUAGUACGCUCUUACAGUUUAUGCAUGCGAAUUAACAGAAAUAAAUUGCACGGACUAUUCUUUUUCUCAUAAAUGUGAAGCAUGUACAACUAUUUUUCAAUUGCGAAAAAACAUUCCUUCCCCCAAGCGAGCCAGCACACAAAUAAGAGUCACUCCAUUCUACCUACCUACCUACCUACCUACCUACCUAUCUAUCCAUCCUUAACUUCAGCAUAUUUACCUUGAGUAAUUAUGGUUUAAUAAGGUUUUUUUAUGUAUUAGUGAUUUAGUUUUUUAUUGGUUUACACCCCCUUGGUUCAAACAUUAUUAUUCUCUACUUUAGGCAUUUAUAUAACUAAAUGGCUUUUUAAUGCCUAAAAAUAUAUUGGUUUUGUUUUUCACUAGGGAGAGAACAUAUUGAUGUAUCAAUGGGAAAAAGUAAGUUUCAAAAUAUGUUAUAGUACAAUAGUACAUCAUGUGUAAACGUGGGCUGGGCAUAGAACUUUGGCCAAUUCUCUCCCAUCUCUUAAAGCUCAUCAAUGACGCAGUUCACUUAGUACCAUUCAACGGAGGAGAGCACUAAUUUAAGGAAACUAUGAAUGAGGAACUAUUUGAAGGAAUCUACUUCCUUUUAGUCCUAUGGUUGAGCAAAAAUCACGUGGUUCGAAAUAAUGAACAUGCAAGUUUCUCCUGUAUUAUUCCUAUAUAUUUCACUCGCAACAUACAAUACUUUCUUUGUGAUUGUUUGCGUCAAUGUGUAAAUAAAAAAGUACUAGCCCGUGCAAGUGCACGGGUUGACGACUAGUGCUUAUUAAUGAUGCUUCUGGACAUAAGGUCAUUAGCUUUCUUGAUGGUAAUGCGGGAUAUAACCAGAUUUUUAUGGCCGAAGCGGACAUGUCCAAAACGGCUUUUCGACGUCCCGGUUUCAUUGGUUUAUUUGAGUGGACAAUAAUGACCUUUGGAUUAAAAAAUGCCGGCGCCACGUAUCAAAGGGCUAUGAAUUUAUUUUUUCAUGAUUUACUUGGUGUUAUACUUGAGGUUUAUAUUGAUGAUAUUGUUGUCAAAUCGGAUGCUUUUGAAUCCCAUCUAGCCGAUUUGCACUUAGCUUUUGAGAGAAUGAAAAAAUAUGGACUAAAUAUGAAUCCUUUGAAGUUUGCUUUUGGUGUAUCGGCUGGAAAGUUUUUGGGUUUCAUUAUUCAUCAAGAUAGCAUAGAAAUUGAUCCCAAAAAGAUAGAAGCUAUACAAAAGGUGGAGGCUCCAACAUGCAAGAGAGAUAUGCAAAAGUUCUUUGGCAAAGUCAAUUUUUAAGGAGAUUCAUAGCCAACUUGUCAGGGAAGGUUGAUGCAUUCACCCCAUCCUUCGGUUAAAGGAUGAUGCCAAUUUUACUUGGGGGGCAAAAUAACAAGAAGCGUUUGAUAUGAUAAAAAGUUAUUUGUGCACUCCUCGGUGUUGAAAGCUCCCAAACAUAGAGAGCCCUUUAAGCUUUAUAUUGCGGUGGAGGAAGGUGUUAUUGGUGCUGUUUUGACUCAAGAGAUCGAAGGAAAGGAGCAUGCUAUUAUUUAUUUGAGCCGACGAUUAUUGGACGCCGAGACAGGGUAUACAUUCAUUGAGAAAUUAUGCUUGUGUUUAUAUUAUGCUUGCACAAAAUUGAGACAUUAUCUAGUGCCUAGUAGUUGCAUUAUAGCUUGUCAAACCAAUGUCAUCAAAUACAUGUUGCAUAGGCCAAUUCUUAGUGGUAGAAUUGACAAAUGGGCUUAUGCCUUAAUUGAAUAUGAUUUGGCUUAUGUA